CCUGAGAAACCCAAAAGAUCGAAUGGGGAGAUUCAUCGUCAGCGAUCCAGGCACGUGUGCGGUUCGUGAUGCCAUAAGACUUCGGUCUUGAGGUACACGUCCGUGUGGGUUUUUGCCUGGUGUCGUCGGCGUGCACUUCUCCCCUAGUAGGACGUCGCGACCCGUUGGGUGUCGGUCUACGGCCCGGGUGGGUGCCUGUCAUGUGUACGACGCUUCACGGCGUUACGUGGCUGACAGACCCCCGGUUGUCUGACCAGCUGCCCGGCGGUACUCGCACGGUAUCGAGCCGCAAAUUUGAACUGCGUCCGGCCCGCCGCAAGCGCGGCCAGUGUUUCCCGGAUGUACGGACCUAGUGCCGUCACCGGGCCUGGCCAGCUGUUGGUUGGCGGUGUCCUAGGACUGGCUUUAAUGAUACCGGUCGGCGACGCUACUGCUUUGGGUACUUUCAGG
rnacentral:rRNA from 1 species